rfam:Lactobacillus suebicus DSM 5007 = KCTC 3549 strain DSM 5007 Scaffold10, whole genome shotgun sequence.
GCUGAUUUAGCUCAGUUGGCAGAGCACUUCACUAGUAAUGAAGGGGUCACAGGUUCGAAUCCUGUAAUCAGCA